UUCAAACCUGCGGUUUCUCACCAUUCUCAUUCAAUUUUCCGACGACUUGGACCUAUGAACCAUUUCUAAUCAUCCCCUUGGCCCUUUCUCUUCUUCUUUCACCAAAAAUUAGAGGGAAAUUGAUAGUAUUUUGGUACAAAAAUGGGAUGGGUGCCACGGGAGACUUUGCUCAAAAUCGAUUAAUUGUGAAACCAUCCCCUUCAAUUACCAUCGUCAAAACACUCCUCUAGAACCCAGGACCAAAGCCCAGGCAAUGAUUGAGGUGUCGGAGUUACUAUGGAGCCGAAUUGAAGACACCGAAAACUAGGGUUUCCGAUGGGUUUUGAUGAAAUUGAAGCCUGUCUAGGCCAAAUUGGACUUGUCCACAUGUAUAAAUUUUACUCUACCCUUUGAGAUCUUCAAUUAUGUAAUUUUUGAGAAUUUGUAAAAAUAGUUGAAUUUUCGGACAAGUUGGGGCGGCUGACCACCACCCGCAGCGGCGUGUGCAGCGGCACGUGGCCUGUUGGCCAAAGAUAUUUUGUUUAAGUACUAUUAGAUGCCUUCGGUUCAUAAUUGAUACUCGUAUGACGUAAUUUUAUUAUUUGGGCUUAGUUUUAGUUCGACA
rnacentral:lncRNA from 1 species